rnacentral:rRNA from 1 species
UACGUAGGGGGCAAGCGUUGUCCGGAUUCACUGGGCGUAAAGAGCGUGUAGGCGGCCAAGCAGGUCCGUUGUGAAAACUGGAGGCUUAACCUCCAGACGUCGACGGAAACCGCGUGGCUAGAGUCCGGAAGAGGAGAGUGGAAUUCCUGGUGUAGCGGUGAAAUGCGCAGAUAUCAGGAAGAACACCAAUGGCGAAGGCAGCUCUCUGGGACGGUACUGACGCUGAGACGCGAAAGCGUGGGGAGCGAACAGG